CUUGGUCAUUUAGAGGAAGUAAAAGUCGUAACAAGGUCUCCGUAGGUGAACCUGCGGAGGGAUCAUUACAAGAACGCCCGGGCUUCGGCCUGGUUAUUCAUAACCCUUUGUUGUCCGACUCUGUUGCCUCCGGGGCGACCCUGCCUUCGGGCGGGGGCUCCGGGUGGACACUUCAAACUCUUGCGUAACUUUGCAGUCUGAGUAAACUUAAUUAAUAAAUUAAAACUUUUAAAAACGGAUCUCUUGGUUCUGGCAUCGAUGAAGAACGCAGCGAAAUGCGAUAAGUAAUGUGAAUUGCAGAAUUCAGUGAAUCAUCGAAUCUUUGAACGCACAUUGCGCCCCCUGGUAUUCCGGGGGGCAUGCCUGUUCGAGCGUCAUUUCACCACUCAAGCCUCGCUUGGUAUUGGGCAACGCGGUCCGCCGCGUGCCUCAAAUCGUCCGGCUGGGUCUUCUGUCCCCUAAGCGUUGUGGAAACUAUUCGCUAAAGGGUGUUCGGGAGGCUACGCCGUAAAACAACCCCAUUUCUAAGGUUGACCUCGGAUCAGGUAGGGAUACCCGCUGAACUUAAGCAUAUCAAUAAGCGGAGGAAAAGAAACCAACAGGGAUUGCUCUAGUAAUGGCGAGUGAAGCAGCAAUAGCUCAAAUUUGAAAUCUGGCGUCUUCGACGUCCGAGUUGUAAUUUGUAGAGGAUGCUUCUGAGUGGCCACCGACCUAAGUUCCUUGGAACAGGACGUCAUAGAGGGUGAGAAUCCCGUAUGCGGUCGGAAAGGCGCUCUAUACGUAGCUCCUUCGACGAGUCGAGUUGUUUGGGAAU
rnacentral:sRNA from 1 species